rnacentral:rRNA from 1 species
CAGCAGCCGCGGGAAUACGAAGGGGGCUAGCGUUGCUCGGAAUCACUGGGCGUAAAGGGUGCGUAGGCGGGUCUUUAAGUCAGGGGUGAAAUCCUGGAGCUCAACUCCAGAACUGCCUUUGAUACUGAAGAUCUUGAGUUCGGGAGAGGUGAGUGGAACUGCGAGUGUAGAGGUGAAAUUCGUAGAUAUUCGUAAGAACACCAGUGGCGAAGGCGGCUCACUGGCCCGAUACUGACGCUCAUGCACGAAAGCGUGGGGAGCAAACAGGAUUAGAUACCCCUGUAGUCCCUGUCUCUUAUAU